rnacentral:lncRNA from 1 species
UAGUAACAACAGCUUCGAGAAUUUCCCCCUUGAAAGGUCGAAAAACGACGCACAGAUACUUGACCGGAAAGGUGACAAAGCCGGUGCCGUCCCUAAUCAAACCCUUGCCCACGCUCUCAAUGCCCGUGAUUGCCACCACAAACCCAUGUCGCCCGCUACACCAAAAGUUUCAGGCUUUAUUUUUUUUUCCCAUUUUUCUGUUGUGCACAACUCAAAUUUUCGAUUAAAGAGAGAAAUAAAAGUAACCAACCUGCAGGUGCCCUCGACGUCUUUCAUGAGCUUCGAGACAAGCUUAUCGCGCAGGUCCCGUCCGAAGUGGCGUGGGUGAAGCUGCAUAUUCCUCUCCAGUACUAUGUGGAAGAACAUCUUCUCUCUCGCUCUCAGAUGAUCACUAUUCUCUAUUGCUGGAACAAAUUUCGACCCGCUGCAGAAACCCAGCUCCUUUACUUUCUCUCUCCUC